GAUGAACGCUGGCGGCGUGUCUAAGGCAUGCAAGUCGAACGAUCUAUUUACUUCGGUUUUAUAGAUAGUGGCAAACGGGUGCGUAACACAUUGGUAACCUACCCCGAAGUCGUGAAUAAUCCAUCGAAAGGUGGACUAAUACACGAUAAAAUGGGGGGACAAAAGUCAUUCCCAUUUAAAGUUUCGACGCUUCGGGAGGGGCCUAUGGCCUAUCAGCUUGUUGGUAAGGUAAAAGCUUACCAAGGCUAUGACGGGUAGCGGGUGUGAGAGCAUGGCCCGCCUCAUUGGGACUGAGACACUGCCCAAACUCCUACGGGAGGCUGCAGUCAAGAAUCUUGGACAAUGCCCGCAAGGGUGAUCCAGCGACGCCGCGUGAUUGAUGAAGCCCUUCGGGGUGUAAAGAUCUUUUCUCAGGGACGAACUAAUGACGGUACCUGGGGAAUAAGGGGCUGCUAAACUCGUG
rnacentral:rRNA from 1 species